rnacentral:tRNA from 1 species
GGGGCAAUGGCUCAGUGGGUAAGAGCACUGGCUGCUCUUCCAGAAAUCCUGAGUUCAAUUCCCAGCAACCACA